rnacentral:rRNA from 1 species
UGGGGAAUUUUGGACAAUGGGCGCAAGCCUGAUCCAGCCAUGCCGCGUGUCUGAAGAAGGCCUUCGGGUUGUAAAGGACUUUUGUCAGGGAAGAAAAGGCUGUUGCUAAUAUCAGCGGCUGAUGACGGUACCUGAAGAAUAAGCACCGGCUAACUACGUGCCAGCAGCCGCGGUAAUACGUAGGGUGCAAGCGUUAAUCGGAAUUACUGGGCGUAAAGCGAGCGCAGACGGUUACUUAAGCAGGAUGUGAAAUCCCCGGGCUCAACCUGGGAACUGCGUUCUGAACUGGGUGACUAGAGUGUGUCAGAGGGAGGUAGAAUUCCACGUGUAGCAGUGAAAUGCGUAGAGAUGUGGAGGAAUACCGAUGGCGAAGGCAGCCUCCUGGGAUAACACUGACGUUCAUGCUCGAAAGCGUGGGUAGCAAACAGGAUUAGAUACCCUGGUAGUCCACGCCCUAAACGAUGUCAAUUAGCUGUUGGGCAACUUGAUUGUUCAGUAGCGUANCUAACGCGUGAAAUUGACCGCCUGGGGAGUACGGUCGCAAGAUUA